CGGACGGGUGAGUAACACGUGAGCAACCUGCCUUUAAGAGUGGGAUAACAGUCGGAAACGACCGCUAAUACCGCAUAAUAUACUUGUAUCGCAUGGUAUGGGUAUCAAAGAUUUAUCGCUUAAAGAUGGGCUCGCGUCUGAUUAGCUGGUUGGUGAGGUAACGGCUCACCAAGGCGACGAUCAGUAGCCGUACUGAGAGGUAGAACGGCCACAUUGGGACUGAGACACGGCCCAGACUCCUACGGAAGGCAGCAG
rnacentral:rRNA from 1 species